rnacentral:rRNA from 1 species
AUUGAACGCUGGCUGCAGGCUUAACACAUGCAAGUCGAGCGAGCGGCGGACGGGUGAGUAAUGUCUGGGAAACUGCCUGAUGGAGGGGGAUAACUACUGGAAACGGUAGCUAAUACCGCAUACCAUCAGAUGUGCCCAGAUGGGAUUAGCUAGUAGGGGGGGUAAUGGCUCCCCUAGGCGACGAUCCCUAGCUGGUCUGAGAGGCGAACCAGCUACACUGGAAAUGAAAAACGAUACAGACUCCUACGGGAGGCAGCAGUGGGGAAUAUUGCACAAUGGGAGCAAGCCUGAUGCAGACAUGCAGAGUGAGUGAAGAAGGCCUUCGGGUUGUAAAGAACUUUCAGCGAGGAGGCGUUACUCGCAGAAGAAGCACCGGCUAACUCCGUGCUAGCAGCAGCGGUAAUUC